rnacentral:rRNA from 1 species
UACGUAGGGACCGAGCGUUGUCCGGAAUCAUUGGGCGUAAAGAGCGUGUAGGCGGCCAACUAAGUCCUGCGUGAAAUCUCGGGGCUCAACCCCGAGCGGUCGUGGGAAACUGGUUGGCUAGAGUGCGGGAGAGGAGAGUGGAAUUCCUGGUGUAGCGGUGAAAUGCGCAGAUAUCAGGAAGAACACCCGUGGCGAAGGCGGCUCUCUGGAACGCAACUGACGCUGAGACGCGAAAGCGUGGGGAGCAACAGG